rnacentral:rRNA from 1 species
UAUAGUUUGGGGUAUUUUAUUUGUUAACAGAGAGUGGUUAUAGAGUAUGUGAGUGAAAUUUGUAUUUUUCCUAGAGAGAAAGAGUACUGUGUGGGAAAAUUUACUUAUUAGUUUAUAAUAUUAGGUUGUUUAGUACCUUUUGUAUUAGGGGUGAUUAAUGGGGUACAGCCUUUGUUUGGUUCUCGAUUAAUCUCGGGCUAUUUUUUCUUGUUUUAUUCUCGUUGUAUAGAGUUGAAUAGGGGAUUAUAGGUAUGAAAUAUUAUUCAAGUUAUUUUUUAUCUAGUUCUUUAAGAAAUUUAAUUUUUGGUGGUUAUAUUGGGGCAAUAGGCAGGGAUUAGCUUGUUUAUGGUUUAUAUGGGCGUUGUUGUUGUUUUUGUUUGUUGAGUUGAUGGUGCUAAUUUUUAUGGAGUUAUUAUUGGGCAGCCUUGUUGGAUUAUUUUUUGUUUUUGUGUUGUUAUUAGGGUUAUUUUAUUAAUUUUAAUUGUUUUGAGAUAAUGAUUGUAUUAGUAAUAUCUUGUUUUAUAUUAAGGUGUUAAUUGGGCUGUGGUCUGAUGUAUGAUUAUAGUUUAUUUAGAUGUUUAAAUUAGGAUUGAUGAAUUAGGCAAAGUUUGAUUUCUGACUGUUUAGCAAAGACAUUGUUUUUUGUUUGAGGUAAAAAAUAAGUUCUGUCCGCUGCUAUUAGGUGAAGGGCUGCAGUAUUUUGACUGUAUGAAGGUAGCAUAAUCAUUAGCUUUUUAAUUGGGGGCUGGUAUGAAGGUGAAACAGGGAUUUGCUGUGUUUGUUCUAUUUGUUGAAUUUUAUUUUUAUGUGAAAAAUCGUAAUUGAAAUAGUGGGACAAGAAGACCCUAAUAAAUUUUAUCUUUUGUUGUUAAUGAGUGCACAGGUUAAUAUUAGUGCGAUUUGGUUUGGGGGGUUUGGCUGGGGCGGCUGUUUAAAGUAGAACGUAAAUUAACAUUUAACUUUGUGGGGCGUAAGUUUAGACCUGGGGCGUUUAGAUGUGUGUAAAAUUACUGUAGGGAUAACAGCGUGAUUUUAUUUGAGAGUUCUAAUUGACGGUAAAGUUUGCGACCUCGAUGUUGGAUUAAGAAGAGCAUUGGCGCAGUAGUUGGUG